rnacentral:rRNA from 1 species
GGGUUGUGAGGUUAAGCGACUAAGCGUACACGGUGGAUGCCCUGGCAGUCAGAGGCGAUGAAGGRCGUGCUAAUCUGCGAUAAGCGCCGGUAAGGUGAUAUGAACCGUUAUAACCGGCGAUWYCCGAAUGGGGAAACCCAGUGUGAYUCGUCACACUAUCAUUAACUGAAUCCAUAGGUUAAUGAGGCGAACCGGGGGAACUGAAACAUCUAAGUACCCCGAGGAAAAGAAAUCAACCGAGAUUCCCCCAGUAGCGGCGAGCGAACGGGGAGGAGCCCAGAGCCUGAAUCAGCAUGUGUGUUAGUGGAAGCGUCUGGAAAGGCGCGCGAUACAGGGUGACAGCCCCGUACACAAAAGCGCAUGUGCUGUGAGCUCGAUGAGUAGGGCGGGACACGUGGUAUCCUGUCUGAAUAUGGGGGGACCAUCCUCCAAGGCUAAAUACUCCUGACUGACCGAUAGUGAACCAGUACCGUGAGGGAAAGGCGAAAAGAACCCCGGCGAGGGGAGUGAAAAAGAACCUGAAACCGUGUACGUACAAGCAGUGGGAGCACAGGUUUACCUGUGUGACUGCGUACCUUUUGUAUAAUGGGUCAGCGACUUAUAUUCUGUAGCAAGGUUAACCGAAUAGGGGAGCCGGAGGGAAACCGAGUCUUAACCGGGCGUUAAGUUGCAGGGUAUAGACCCGAAACCCGGUGAUCUAGCCAUGGGCAGGUUGAAGGUUGGGUAACACUAACUGGAGGACCGAACCGACUAAUGUUGAAAAAUUAGCGGAUGACCUGUGGCUGGGGGUGAAAGGCCAAUCAAACCGGGAGAUAGCUGGUUCUCCCCGAAAGCUAUUUAGGUAGCGCCUCGUGAAUUCAUCUCCGGGGGUAGAGCACUGUUUCGGCUAGGGGGCCAUCCCGGCUU